GGGUUGUGAGGUUAAGCGAACAAGCGUACACGGUGGAUGCCCUGGCAGUCAGAGGCGAUGAAGGACGUGCUAAUCUGCGAAAAGCGCCGGUAAGGUGAUAUGAACCGUUAUAACCGGCGAUGUCCGAAUGGGGAAACCCGGUGCACUUCGGUGCAUCAUCGUUAGCUGAAUACAUAGGCUAACGAAGCGAACCGGGGGAACUGAAACAUCUAAGUACCCCGAGGAAAAGAAAUCAACCGAGAUUCCCCCAGUAGCGGCGAGCGAACGGGGAACAGCCCAGAGCCUGAAUCAGCUUGUGUGUCAGUGGAACGGUCUGGAAAGGCCGGCGAUACAGGGUGACAGCCCCGUACACGAAGGCACACAGGCUGUGAGCUCGAUGAGUAGGGCGGGACACGUGAUAUCCUGUCUGAAGAUGGGGGGACCAUCCUCCAAGGCUAAAUACUCCUGACUGACCGAUAGUGAACCAGUACCGUGAGGGAAAGGCGAAAAGAACCCCGGCGAGGGGAGUGAAACAGAACCUGAAACCGUGUACGUACAAGCAGUGGGAGCCUUCGUAAGAGGGUGACUGCGUACCUUUUGUAUAAUGGGUCAGCGACUUAUAUUCUGUAGCAAGGUUAACCGUAUAGGGGAGCCGAAGGGAAACCGAGUCUUAACCGGGCGUUAAGUUGCAGGGUAUAGACCCGAAACCCGGUGAUCUAGCCAUGGGCAGGUUGAAGGUUGGGUAACACUAACUGGAGGACCGAACCGACUAAUGUUGAAAAAUUAGCGGAUGACCUGUGGCUGGGGGUGAAAGGCCAAUCAAACCGGGAGAUAGCUGGUUCUCCCCGAAAGCUAUUUAGGUAGCGCCUCGUGAACUCAUCUCCGGGGGUAGAGCACUGUUUCGGCUAGGGGGCCAUCCCGGCUUACCAACCCGAUGCAAACUGCGAAUACCGGAGAAUGUUAUCACGGGAGACACACGGCGGGUGCUAACGUCCGUCGUGAAGAGGGAAACAACCCAGACCGCCAGCUAAGGUCCCAAAGUCAUGGUUAAGUGGGAAACGAUGUGGGAAGGCCCAGACAGCCAGGAUGUUGGCUUAGAAGCAGCCAUCAUUUAAAGAAAGCGUAAUAGCUCACUGGUCGAGUCGGCCUGCGCGGAAGAUGUAACGGGGCUAAACCAUGCACCGAAGCUGCGGCAGCGACGCUUAUGCGUUGUUGGGUAGGGGAGCGUUCUGUAAGCCUGCGAAGGUGUGCUGUGAGGCAUGCUGGAGGUAUCAGAAGUGCGAAUGCUGACAUAAGUAACGAUAAAGCGGGUGAAAAGCCCGCUCGCCGGAAGACCAAGGGUUCCUGUCCAACGUUAAUCGGGGCAGGGUGAGUCGACCCCUAAGGCGAGGCCGAAAGGCGUAGUCGAUGGGAAACAGGUUAAUAUUCCUGUACUUGGUGUUACUGCGAAGGGGGGACGGAGAAGGCUAUGUCGGCCGGGCGACGGUUGUCCCGGUUUAAGCGUGUAGGCUGACUUUCCAGGCAAAUCCGGAAAGUUAAGGCUGAGGCGUGAUGACGAGGCACUACGGUGCUGAAGUGACAAAUGCCCUGCUUCCAGGAAAAGCCUCUAAGCAUCAGGUAACAUCAAAUCGUACCCCAAACCGACACAGGUGGUCAGGUAGAGAAUACCAAGGCGCUUGAGAGAACUCGGGUGAAGGAACUAGGCAAAAUGGUGCCGUAACUUCGGGAGAAGGCACGCUGACAUGUAGGUGAAGCCCCUGCGGGUGGAGCUGAAGUCAGUCGAAGAUACCAGCUGGCUGCAACUGUUUAUUAAAAACACAGCACUGUGCAAACACGAAAGUGGACGUAUACGGUGUGACGCCUGCCCGGUGCCGGAAGGUUAAUUGAUGGGGUUAUCGCAAGAGAAGCUCCUGAUCGAAGCCCCGGUAAACGGCGGCCGUAACUAUAACGGUCCUAAGGUAGCGAAAUUCCUUGUCGGGUAAGUUCCGACCUGCACGAAUGGCGUAAUGAUGGCCAGGCUGUCUCCACCCGAGACUCAGUGAAAUUGAACUCGCUGUGAAGAUGCAGUGUACCCGCGGCAAGACGGAAAGACCCCGUGAACCUUUACUACAGCUUGACACUGAACAUUGAGCCUUGAUGUGUAGGAUAGGUGGGAGGCUUUGAAGCGUGGACGCCAGUCUGCGUGGAGCCGACCUUGAAAUACCACCCUUUAAUGUUUGAUGUUCUAACCUGGCGCCGUGAUCCGGCGUGGGGACAGUGUCUGGUGGGUAGUUUGACUGGGGCGGUCUCCUCCCAAAGUGUAACGGAGGAGCACGAAGGUCAGCUAAUCCUGGUCGGACAUCAGGAGGUUAGUGCAAUGGCAUAAGCUGGCUUGACUGCGAGAGUGACGGCUCGAGCAGGUGCGAAAGCAGGUCAUAGUGAUCCGGUGGUUCUGUAUGGAAGGGCCAUCGCUCAACGGAUAAAAGGUACUCCGGGGAUAACAGGCUGAUACCGCCCAAGAGUUCAUAUCGACGGCGGUGUUUGGCACCUCGAUGUCGGCUCAUCACAUCCUGGGGCUGAAGUAGGUCCCAAGGGUAUGGCUGUUCGCCAUUUAAAGUGGUACGCGAGCUGGGUUUAGAACGUCGUGAGACAGUUCGGUCCCUAUCUGCCGUGGGCGCUGGAGAAUUGAGGGGGGCUGCUCCCAGUACGAGAGGACCGGAGUGGACGCAUCACUGGUGUUCGGGUUGUCAUGCCAAUGGCACUGCCCGGUAGCUAAAUGCGGAAGAGAUAAGUGCUGAAAGCAUCUAAGCACGAAACUUGCCCCGAGAUGAGUUCUCCCUGAGACUAUAAGUCUCCUGAAGGAACGUUGAAGACGACGACGUUGAUAGGCCGGGUGUGUAAGCGCAGCGAUGCGUUGAGCUAACCGGUACUAAUGAACCGUGAGGCUUAACCUUACAACGCCAAAGAAGU
rnacentral:rRNA from 1 species